GGAAGGAUCAUUAUCGAAUUAAACUUGAAGCAGGUUGUUGCUGGCUCUCCUUCGAGGCGCAUGUGCACGCUUGUUUCUCUUUAUUUCUCCAACUGUGCACAAUUUGUAGACUGUUUUGAGGAUUUAUUUCCCUUGGUCUAUGCUUUCACAAUCUCUGAAUGUAAUGUAGAAUGCUUUUGAAUCUGGGGAAUAAUACAUACAACUUUCAGCAACGGAUCUCUUGGCUCUCGCAUCGAUGAAGAACGCAGCGAAAUGCGAUAAGUAAUGUGAAUUGCAGAAUUCAGUGAAUCAUCGAAUCUUUGAACGCAUCUUGCGCUCCUUGGUAUUCCGAGGAGCAUGCCUGUUUGAGUGUCAUUUAAAACUUCUCAACUGCUCCAGAUUUAUUUUUUGGAUGUGGCUUGGAAAUGGAGGGAGUGCAGGCUUUCAUGAAGAGUCUGCUCCUCUGAAACAUAUUAGCGGUGUCUGGGCAAAGACUACCACAGGUGUGAUAACUAUCAAUGCCUUGGUGUUAUGCUGCUGCUGCUUCCAACUGUGUGCAAUGACCAACUUGACCUCAAAUCAGGUAGGAUUACCCGCGAACUUAAGCAUAUCAAUAAGCGGAGGAAAAAGAAACUAACAAGGAUUCCCCUAGUAACUGCGAGUGAAGCGGGAAAAGCUCAAAUUUGAAAUCUGGCGGUCAUUGGCUGUCCGAGCUGUAAUCUAGAGAAGUGCCACCUGCGCUGGACCGUGCACAAGUCUUCUGGAAUGGAGCAUCACAGAGGGUGAGAAUCCCGUCUUUGACAUGGACUGUCUGCAC
rnacentral:sRNA from 1 species